UACGUAGGGUGCGAGCGUUGCCCCGGAUUUAUUGGGCGUAAAGGGCGCGUAGGCGGUCACGCACGUCCGUUGUGAAAUCGCUCGGCUCAACUGGGCGGGGUCAGCGGAUACGGCGUGGCUGGAGCAAGCUAGGGGGCAAUGGAAUUCCCGGUGUAGUGGUGGAAUGCGUAGAUAUCGGGAGGAACACCAGUGGCGAAGGCGGUUGCCUGGAGCUUUGCUG
rnacentral:rRNA from 1 species